AGUGAACGCUGGCGGUAGGCCUAACACAUGCAAGUCGAACGGCAGCACAGUAAGAGUUUGCUCUUACGGGUGGCGGGUGGCGGACGGGUGAGGUAUAUAUCGGAAUCUUCUCUUUCGUGGGGGAUAACGUAGGGAAACCUACGCUAAUAUAGCAUCCGCCCUACGGGUGAAAGCAGGGGAUCUUUUGACCUUGUGCGAUUGAACGAGCCGAUGACGGAUUGGCUAGUUGGCGGGGUAAAUGCCCACCAAGGCGACGAUCCGUAGCCGGUCUGAGAGGAUGGUCGGCCACAUGGGAAGGGGGACACGGUCCAUAGGCCUACGGGAGGCAGCAGUGGGGAAUAUUGGGCAAUGGGCGCAAGCCUUAUCCAACCAGACGGCGUGGGUGAAGAAGGCCUUCGGGUUGUAAAGCCCUUUUGUUGGGAAAGAAAAGCAGCAGGUUAAUACCCCGCUGUACUGACGGUACCCAAUGAAUAAGCACCGGCUAACUACGUG
rnacentral:rRNA from 1 species